GGGGGUAUAGCUCAGCUGGGAGAGCAGCAGACUGAAGUGUGAAAUAUUCUGAAGGUCCCGCGUUCGAUCCGCGGUACCCCCA
rnacentral:tRNA from 1 species